ACAGAGACAGCUAGAAAAAAAACAGAGCUCCUUCGCGACGAGAAGUCGCCGCCGGAAUCGAGAGGCCAAGGCCGUAGUUUGAGAGUUUAAAGGAAAAUUACUCCCGACGUUGAUUAGUCUCCGGAGGAUACUUUGUGAUAUUUUGUUGAUUCAUAGGUAGACUGUGAAGACUUGCAAAAGAUAGCCUUUUGACUUCUUUGUUCACUGUUACACGAUGAAUGACGCUCUUGUAUAUGCCGUUGCUCAUCACCUCUACCUGAUCUCCCAGCUGAACUAUCAAAGCUCCUUCUAUAUACGGCACACAAACCCAGUUUUUGUUGCAGUCCAUUAUCUGGAGUCCCUUGCUACUCUGAAGUAAGAUGGUCAGUGAGCUGAAGUCUGAGUGUGGUGGCAUUCCCAAGGCCAUUUCAGGUUCCGGGCAUGCUGGAUAACAAUUCACUGCCAUGACUUGUGAGCCUUCUUCUAUCUCUUCUUCAUGGAGGAUUUGAUGGCCACAUAUCGAUCCACUUUGAGAGUGGAUGAGAGUAAUGCUUGAUGAAAUCUCUCCAGUAGUGAACUCUGUCUGUUGAAUGGUUAAGGCUUGUGCCAUACCUGACUGGCUCAUGAACGUUUGCAGACACCAGAAGCAUCUUCUCUUCCACAGGCCAUGCUAAUCUCGUGGAUUGCGAGGGAUCGAAGGAAAGGUUGGUGCAAAAGAGAGAGAUCAAUGACAGGAAGUGUAGUCUCGCUGGUGCCUAAGCUUGAACCAAGAGCUGGCCUUUGCGAAGGAGGAAGAACGUAGCGAUCAGGGACUUGAGGCACACCUGAAUUGGUAAGUGUCAUUGCACUUGUAAAAGAAUCAUCAAGCAAACUCAUUUUUGUUUCCUCCAUAUUUUUUUGUUUGCUCUUUAUGUAUUUAGUACUACUAUACUAAAGAGUAUGGCAACAUGCAUAGCGUAUAUAUAUACUUGUUAAAAUUUCUUCUAGAAAGAUAAAUAUCCCAAUUUUGUAAAGUCAACAUUUUUAUAUUUUUCCUAGUUUGCUUACGGUAUUGGAAACCACCUGCAGCAUCUUUACAAUAAAUGAAGUGUGACAGAUCAAAUUGUGGAUGUGAAUUAGUAUAUAAAAGUGAAUGGACACAUACGUCUUCUUUAAAAGUUGCAUCUUUCUAGUAGUCCAUAUGACAGG
rnacentral:lncRNA from 1 species